UACAGAGGUCCCAAGCGUUGUUCGGAUUCACUGGGCGUAAAGGGUGCGUAGGUGGCGAGGUAAGUCGGAUGUGAAAGCUCGGAGCUCAACUCCGAAAUGGCAUUGGAAACUACCUUGCUCGAGGGUUGGAGGGGGACUGGAAUGCUUGGUGUAGCAGUGAAAUGCGUAGAUAUCAAGCGGAACACCAGUGGCGAAGGCGAGUCCCUGGACAACUCCUGACACUGAGGCACGAAGCUAGGGGAGCAAACAGG
rnacentral:rRNA from 1 species